GUGGGGAAUCUUAGACAAUGGGCGCAAGCCUGAUCUAGCCAUGCCGCGUGAGCGAUGAAGGCCUUAGGGUUGUAAAGCUCUUUCGUGGGGGAAGAUAAUGACUGUACCCCAAGAAGAAGCCCCGGCUAACUCCGUGCCAGCAGCCGCGGUAAUACGGAGGGGGCUAGCGUUGUUCGGAAUUACUGGGCGUAAAGCGCACGUAGGCGGACUGGAAAGUCAGGGGUGAAAUCCCGGGGCUCAACCUCGGAACUGCCUCCAAAACUAUCAGUCUUGAGUUCGAGAGAGGUGAGUGGAAUUCCGAGUGUAGAGGUGAAAUUCGUAGAUAUUCGGAGGAACACCAGUGGCGAAGGCGGCUCACUGGCUCGAUACUGACGCUGAGGUGCGAAAGCGUGGGGAGCAAACAGGAUUAGAAACCCCGGUAGUCC
rnacentral:rRNA from 1 species